UAGCCUGUGUCUGGCGCUGCUAAUACUGUAUGCACUGUCCUCGCGGAUAACACCACCUGACAGGACAGAUACAGUACAUACACACAUACUGAGCAUAUUGGAAGUCAUCGCUUACUCACUUUUUGUCCAUAAUAGUAUAGACCUUUUUCACUACAGACACUUUGAUUUGCCCAAGUUCAACUAGGUCUGGCUCUGUAGCUUCAUUGAGCCUACCAUUAGUGAUCCUGGAUAACCGGUAUCACGUAGCUGGUUAUCGCUUGGGUCAGUUAAAGCUGGGUUUAUCAGUCAGCAUGUUCAUGUGAAAGAAGAGGAGUUGUUAAUUACAAGCAACAUCAUCAGAACAAUAUGACGUUUCAUGCAAAAAGUAGCAGAAAGUGAUAUUCAGCGAGAUAAAAUAUAUAUAAUUUAAUCACACAACUAAAAUGGAAUUAGAAGCUGCUUGAAACAAUAGAUAUAAUAUACAAAUAAGGCUAUAACUUAAUUCAGGAAUUAUUGAAUAUGCCUGAAUAUGGUAGGCAUUUUCAACAAGUUCACUAGUCUAGAAUAGUAACAUUUUGGUGCUUUUUUAUGUUGUAAUGAACAGAGUGAUAUGAAUAUGAAUUAAUAUCAACACUUACAACUGUUAAAGUAAGUAUCUUAAUGCUGCCAACAAAGAGAAGAAAAGUGCAGAUUUUUUAAAAAAGGCCUGAAGUUACAGCUUGGCAAAUCUCUAUGACCAAAAUAAUUUACUAAGGUAAUUCACAAUGUGUCCGACAAUGUGCACAUUUAAUAUGCAACUAUGAUCUCCAGUCAUUGGUGUGUCAGUGUGUUGAACAGAAGCGUUUCCUCUAUCUCUGACAUAAUUAUAAUAGAAAUCAAAGCAAUUCUACUGAUAUAUUUUUAUACCAUGAAUGAUGUUUCUGUUGCUCUUCACCACUUUAUUGUAAACUCUGUAUUGUCAGGAUUAAAAAGACUUUAACAAUUGAAAUACUUAAAGUUGGUCAUUUCAAGGCAGGGUGGAUUGCCUUGGCAUUUGUACAUAUGAAUAUAUACAAAUAUGAAGUCAUGUUCAGUGUCUUUUGUGGACGUAAACCAUGUAUAGCAAUGUUUUCUCUAGGUUUGUGGAAGACUUAGGUGCAAGGUUCAUCAUCUCUCCCCUGACCUUACCUUCCC